rnacentral:rRNA from 1 species
UUGCAGUCGACGAGAGUGCCCGCACGGGAGAGUAAAGUGGCGCACGGGUGAGUAACACGUGGGUAAUCUACCUCCGGGUGGGGAAUAACCUUGGGAAACCGGGGCUAAUACCGUAUAACACCGAAAGAGUCUAAGGCGCAAGUCGCCUGGACAGGAGCCCGCGGCUGAUUAGCUAGUUGGUGGGGUAAUGGCCUACCAAGGCAAAGAUCGGUAGCCGGCCUGAGAGGGCACACAGCCACACUGCCCCUGAAACACGGGCCAGACUCCUACGGGAGGCAGCAGUGGGGAAUCUUGCACAAUGGGGGAAACCCUGAUGCAGCGACGCCGCGUGAGCGAUGAAGCCCUUCGGGGUGUAAAGCUCUUUCGACCGGAACGAUAAUGACGGUACCGGGAGAAGAAGCUGCGGCUAACUACGUGCCAUCAGCCGCGGUAAUACGUAGGCAGCGAGCGUUGUUCGGAGUUACUGGACGUAAAGAGUGCGUAGGCGGUCCUAUAAGUCUGUCGUGAAAUCUCCCGGCUCUCCUGGGAGGGUGCGGUGGAAACUGUAGGGCUCGAGUGUGUUAAAGGUAAGCGAAAUUCCUGGUGUACCGGUGAAAUGCGUAAAUAUCANGAAGAACACCUGUGGUGUAGACAGCUUACUGGACCACGACUGACGCUGAUGAACGAAAGCGUGGGUAGCAUACAGGAUUAAAUACCCUGGAAGUCCACGCCCUACACGAUGCAUACUUGGUGUGAGCCAUUCAUUUGGUUCGUGCCUGAUCUAACGCGUUAAGUAUGCCGCCUGGGGAGUACGGUCGCGAAGCUGAGACUCAAAGGAAUUGACGGGGGCACUCACAAGCGGCGGAGCAUGUGGGUUUAAUUCGACGCUUCACUUAGAAGCUAUACCUAGGAAUCGUAACG